rnacentral:rRNA from 1 species
UACAGAGGGUGCAAGCGUUAAUCGGAAUUACUGGGCGUAAAGCGUGCGUAGUCGGUUAUUUAAGUCGGAUGUGAAAUCCCCGGGCUCAACCUGGGAACUGCAUCUUAUACUGCGUAGCUGGAGUGCAGUAGAGGGUAGUGGAAUUUCCGGUGUAGCGGUGAAAUGCGUAGAUAUCGGAAGGAACACCAGUGGCGAAGGCGGCUACCUGGACUGACACUGACACUGAGGCGCGAGAGCGUGGGGAGCAAACAGG